rnacentral:rRNA from 1 species
GACGUAGGGUGCGAGCGUUGUCCGGAUUUAUUGGGCGUAAAGAGCUCGUAGGCGGCUCGUCGCGUCGACCGUGAAAACUUGGGGCUUAACCCUAAGCUUGCGGUUGAUACGGGCGGGCUAGAGUUCGGUAGGGGAGACUGGAAUUCCUGGUGUAGCGGUGAAAUGCGCAGAUAUCAGGAGGAACACCGGUGGCGAAGGCGGGUCUCUGGGCCGAUACCGACGCUGAGGAGCGAAAGCGUGGGGAGCGAACAGG